GAUGAACGCUAGCGGCAGGCUUAAUACAUGCAAGUCGAGGGACAGCACAGGUAGCAAUACUGGGUGGUAACCGGCAAACGGGUGCGGAACACGUACACAACCUUCCUUUAAGUGGGGGAUAGCCCAGAGAAAUUUGGAUUAAUACCCCGUAAUAUAGUUGAAUGGCAUCAUUUGAUUAUUAUAGCUACGGCGCUUAAUGAUGGGUGUGCGGCUGAUUAGAUAGUUGGCGGGGUAACGGCCCACCAAGUCUACGAUCAGUAGCUGAUGUGAGAGCAUGAUCAGCCAAACGGGCACUGAGACACGGGCCCGACUCCUACGGGAGGCAGCAGUAAGGAAUAUUGGUCAAUGGACGCAAGUCUGAACCAGCCAUGCCGCGUGAAGGAUUAAGGUCCUCUGGAUUGUAAACUUCUUUUAUUUGGGACGAAAAAGGGCCUUUCUAGGUCAACUGACGGUACCAGAUGAAUAAGCACCGGCUAACUCCGUGCCAGCCGCCGCCUAAAAC
rnacentral:rRNA from 1 species